GGCUCUCCUUCUUGGGGCGGGGCGGGGCUCCCCCAGCUCCAGUGUCCUGACCGCAGGGCGGCGCAGGCGGUAGCGCCCGCGGCCGUUCCCAAGCCGAGCGCUCGGCCUCUCGGGCUUCUGAGCCUGGAGCUCAGCGGCCGCGAAGAACGAUGGGCCGAGCUUCCCUGCAACGGGGACCCAAGGUCCCAGCCUCCGGCAGAGCCCUGCGGCCUGAGAAAGGAAGCCCAGGCCAUACGAGUUAAAACGCUCUAGACUUUCACUGAACCAUCGUCACCUCUUCUGCGCAUACCCACCCCCGCCCCCCUUGCGGGCUUGAACUCCGCGGUUCCGGGGCCCAACGUGUCCCGGUGGCCUUGGCUGGGCCUGCGCUGAGAGCCCUGCCCUCCGCGUUCGGAGCCACGCUGCCCCCUGCUGGACAGGCCUGGAGGGGCGGAUCAGGACUGGGGCACCUCAGUGCGUCCUGCUGAGGACUCGGCAGAACUUUCUGCCGCAGCCCCUGUCCACCACCCCUGUGGAUAUCUGGUCUUGCGCUCAAAAACUUCUUGAUCGGUUCCACGGCCCACUGCGAAUGAGGACCGUGAGCUGCCGGGUCUUGACCGGACUGAGGGAUCUCCGCUAGUCCGGCAAGAUCACAGCCCUUCUUCUGCAGCUUCAUAAGGAGGCGACCCGGGACAGACCAGAGUCUGGAUCUCAGAGAACUGUGAUCUCUGGGCGCAGAGAGGGAGAGAGAGUUAUUCAGUGGGUUUUGGACUUGGCUUUAGCCCAGCCAGUGCAGUCCGUAGUAUGGUCUGCACUUGGCCAUGGCUUACGUGAGGGUCCAUGGCUGGCCCACAUCGUUUCUGUCAUUAGCCCCAGGAGGUCGGGAGACGUGGUUGUUCCAAGACGACAGUGCCUGAGUACAUACACCUGUCACAGAGAGCUUUGGGCACCCCUGAGGAUCUGACGGAGCGCCUCGUUCAGUUCCUCUGCUCUUUCGGGGGUCCCAUCUUUCCUGAGGAUUUACUACUGCUGCGCCCCGCUCCGCCCCCGCCCAACGCACUCCACCCCAAGUUAGCCACCUCCCACUCCUCCAGGACAACAAGAGCCUCUGCAGUUAGCCCCUCCCCAAAGACCUCGUGAAAGCUGUGAAACGGGGGAGGUUCGCAGGCGAGUUUUUCCAUUCUGGCCCGUGCCACCUCUGGUAACCUGAAUCCCCGUCCUUCCAUCCUAGACCCUGCAACUGACUUUCGAUAAUAUCAAGUGUAGAAGAAUGGAUUCCCAGCACAGGGUUUAUAGAGGGGGGCUGGGAGUGGGGCAGGGUACUGCCCAAAGACCUCCACCACUCACAGUGCCAUUGCCUUGCCUUGCUCUACCAUGGUUCUAUCAUCCUGAUGGACCCAGAAGCCACUUCUCAGCAUAGCUCGCUGUCUACUGUGACAGUGAUUGUUCAUACGCUAUGUAGUAACAGCACAGCAAAUGGAAGGGCAAGUGGGAGGGCAAUCUGGGGAUUCUGGCCACAAGACAUCACACAGGCUACCUUUCCUAGCAACGUGGUUGGGGGACAGUUUCCAGCUCCUACUCUGUGGGUCGCAAGAAAAGGCAAAGAGAAUGCCGGAAAUGCUUGGGUGGGUUUUAUUGCCUACCCACUCUGCAAAGGGGACAUCCCCCCCCCCCCCACUCCCGCUAAACGCCUAGAAGAUCCCAUCCUUCUCCGACCCCAGUCUUCAGACAUUAAGCUUUUGUGGUCUCAGGUGCCCAGCUUUCGGGAGUGAAGGAGGCGAGAGGAGAGUUCAGCGAGAGUCCUUCCCUAAGCUGCUAGGCCAUCUGUUUCUCUGAGGGGCAAGGGAGCGGGGCUACUCGGCUGGAUCUCUUUGCUGAACAGGUAAAAGGCGCGAGAAACCCUUAAGGCAGCCUGGAGCUUCCAGGUGCUCUGGGAGGAGAUCGGUACACCCUGGAGAAAGAAAAGCUCGCAGGGGUUUCUUCCCAAGAAGAGGUUCAGGUUCCACUUCCUUCUUCUGAAAUGUAGCCAGGGGUCUGGGGCGUCCAAUGGGCCGUUUUUUCCUCAGACCUCUUGGCCGCGGGAGUCAGGGCUAGCGUAGGGUUGUGGGGGAAAGAAGAAAUGCGGUGGGCUGGUCUAGGGCUCCUAGAUAUAACCUCAGUUCCAAGAAUGUGGGACCUGUGAUAACAUACCCAACCCCACCCCUGGAAUCUUGGUGUCUCGAGAGCUGGCUCAAAGGAAUCCCAUCCCACCUUCCAAGGCACUAAGGCGCUGUAACGUCACAUUUGCCUCUGGCAAGAUACGCCCGGACUCCGCCAGGUCUACCUAUCUCAUUUAUGCAGUGUUAUGACGUCACAUGUGGGCUGUGAUACUACGGCUCCCACAUUUUUCGGCCCCGCCCUGCAAACCCUUCCAGAAACGCGCCGAGAAUUCGUUCGUCUCCAUCAACAGGAUCCACAGACCCCAAGCGUUGGUCUGGGCCCCGCAGCGUCCCCCUCUGGAAUCUGGUGGCUUCGGAUAAACUUCUCCGCUCGUAGCUUUCCAGUGCACCAGCUGCUGCGAGAUAUCCGCCCCGCCCACGUUACCCGGUCCUACCCCCGCCUCCACCACUGCGCACGCUCUGCGCGCAGGCGCAGAGUGAACUCUUCCCGCGGAACAUUAGGCGCUGGAGCUCACGGUCCCGCGGCUGUGGCGGGCGGUGGCGGGCGGUGGCGGGCAGUCGCGGGCGGUCGCUGCCCACUUCCGUGUUCCGCUUUCAGGCUUAACGAACGUGGGGUACUACUGGCACAGCGGGCGCUUCCCGCUAUGGGCGUUUGUGAGCACUAGAGAUGCUGACGCCGAAGAGGGCAGCUCUGGGUUCAUGCGAGCUGGAGGCCCUUGGAGUCCCUGUGGCACCCCGAAUCCAGCACUGCCAUGGUCCGACGGAGGUCCCUGGGAUUCGAGCCGGCAGGGAUGGUGCGGCCAGGCCCUGCACUAGAUCCGAUGUGGCCCUAGUCCUUUCAAGCUGGGUCUUUGAGACAGAGGUCUUGGCUUCCAGAUCAGCGGAGCUCUUGGAGGCACAGGCUUGGUCACCCACCCUACCCAUUCGGCCUGGUUUUCUAGAGGGCCACUUCAAGAGCCAGACUGAUGGCUGGGUCCAGUUUGCUCAUGUUUCAGAUGAAAAAAUUCACUAUGAACUGAGAUAGGAGGAAGGGGGCAAACCUCAUGUCAGUGGCAGAGGAAGAAUUAGAAGCUGUGUUUCCUUUGAGGCAAGGGGCCUGAAGACCCAGUCCUUAACAUUUCCUGCCACUUACAAGCUUUGGCCAAGUCCCUGCAUUUCUCUGAGCCUGGCCUUUCUUCCUUUAAUGGGGAUAAUACUCUUCCCACCUACCUCAUUCAGUUGGUGUAGAGGUCAAAGUCAUACAUCUUUUCUCAAUCAUUUAUUCACUACUCAAACCAAAACCGGGCCCUAAUGUGUUGCAGAACAACUUUGGCAUUUAUGAAGCACCAUGCAAAGCAUUAGAAAUGCUUCCCUCAGCAUCCUGAAGCUCCCAAGCUGCCUUAUUCCUAAGAGAAUCUUCCCAUCCUCACUCUCAUCACCCAAAGAUUCUGAAAAAGGAUGGAGGAAGGAUAUCACCUGGACUGGUGGUCAUGAAACUUCUAGAAAACUUGGAAGAAGCCUUCUUUAAACUGCAUGGAGAUGGAUAAAUCAGUUCACAGAUUAUUGUUGUAUUUGUUUGAGAGAGGAAGGUGGGUGACAAAAUAUGGUAGGCUCCUUGAGGCCCCCAGCCGGUUCUGCUUGUCUCAGUAGUCUCUAUGCCUUUUGCGGCUCCUGAGCCCGAGGACAUAUUCCCAGAUGAGCGGGAAGCUGAAGAGCCUUGGCCUGAUUACAGGAGUGAGGAACACUUCAUGACAAAAGGAGGUGAGGCAUCAAAAGUCUGCUGGCAGAAGCCUCAGGAUUUAACAGAAUGAAGAAGAACGAUGUGCAGGCAAGUUUGAAGAUGACUGCGGAGACUGUAAAUUCAGGAGUGUUAACUGUGGAGUGACAGGACCCUGGGGACAGGCUCAGAAUUGCUGAUCCCAGGCAGGACUUGUGCCUCAAGCUCCUCACGAAAGGGCUUCCUUAAGCUUGUCACUGAGUUGUCCCAGCAACCUGGAAAAACAGCUCCCCUCUUUGAGGUGGUAGACCAGUUUUCUGAUAUUCCCCAACCCCCAGACUAUCAAGUUCAUCUCCCCAAAAGGGAAGCUUGUUUUCUAAGAUGGUGAGAAAACACCAAUGCCAGAUAUCAUCUGGUUUCCGUUGAGGGGCUCCAAAACUCUGUCAUGGGCUAAUUGUUUCUAUUCAUACACAUGAAGAUAACCAUGAAUGAAGAUCUGUCACCAGCUCCUGGUUCUUGGUAUCACUGGAUUGACCUAGGCAUAUGGGUUAUUUUGGAGAAGCUAGUCCUUUGUUUUCUAGGCUCUUCUAUGGCACAUACUCAUGAUUCCUGCAGGGGCCUUUGGUGGCUUCUUGAGUAUCUCAGACCCUUAGAAGACAAUAGGGUUCCUUUACCUCAUUCCUUCAGUCUGGAAGUUGUGGGGCUGUUUCUGUCACCCAGCUCCUUCACUUUAACCUCUGUGGAUGUGGCUCCUUCUCAGGGUUUAAAGGGUGCAGCUCAUAUGCCAUCACCAGGAAGUAUCUAGACACUGGUGAGAUAGGAACUCAAAUUGCUGGCUGCUCCGUUCUCUUUACCAAUAUUUAUUUCCACUUUGCAGAUGAAAACAAUUUAUUAUGAAAGCAUGCUGAUAGCCUGAAAUAACCUGAAGUGGGCACAGUCUUGUGAAAUACUUGGCAAGGGAAUAAAUACAUAUUCAGCCACUGAAACCAAAAGGUUUAUUGCCUAGGAGGGGCUCCAUGGAAACUCCUUCGCAAGGAUAUGUCUAAAGCAGUUAUUUUCCUGACUUUGGUCUUUAGUAUAUCACUCAAGAAGACAAGAUUCUGGAGAACCACGUGGAAAGGGGCUCAAUGACUAGGUGAACUUGGAAAAAGUGGCCUUGGAUGUCUCUCACAAAUUUACAACACACCCUAGAAAAAUCUACAGCACAGAAACCUAUUUACAUUUGUUUAACUCAGAAUUUCCUAUUUCCCCAUGAAAAUUUCCCUGCACAGAAUACCUGUUAAUAUGUCAUAGAAUCAGUGUCCUGCAGCCCACAUUUUGUGAAUCCCCACAUCUUGAGAAGCUUUCUCCAGGCUUCUUGGGGAGGUAGGCUUCCUUAUCAGACUUUCUAAGUUGCACAUGUUUAUCAUUUAUGAGACAAGUGUCAGAGACCAUCUCAGUUAAUACAGCAACUUUGAGGUAGCUAUUAAGCCUUCAAUCAGUAGUUAAUUACAUAAUUGAUAUUAGUUAUCUACUAUGGCAUGACCCCAGGGCAAGUUUGUUAUUACCUUUAUUUUAUAGGUGUAGAUGGGGAAACUGAGUCCCAGGAAAGGUAAAUAAUCUAUCCGAAGUCACAUGAUCUUCAGGUAAUAGAGCCAGAAAGAAAAUCCAGUUUCUCCGAUUCCCAGUCUUUGGUUGUUUCCACUUUUUUCAGACUGCAGAGGAGUUACUACUGCCAUUCUUGCACCAACAUCACUCUACAAGUUCAGAACAGGGUUGCUAAAGAGGUCUUUUUUAUGAACUUGAUUGAGAUCUUGUCCUUCCUCAUCUCCCAGCCUGAGCUUUCCCUGCGUCCAGCUCUGAGUUAGAGGAGGGAGGUUGGAGAGUUACUUUUUUAAAGAUGUUUUUAUUUAUUUUUGAGAGAGCACAAGCAAGGGAGGAGCAGAGAGAGAGGGGGACAGAGGAACUGACGUGGGCUCUGCACUGACAGCAGCGAGCCUGAUGUGGGGCUUGAACUCACAAACUGAACCACAAGAUCAUGACCUGAGCUGAAGUCGGACACUCAACUGACUGAGCUACCCAGAUGCCCUGCAAAUCACUCAAGUAGAGAGACCCACUCAGACCUGGGGAGAAGGAGUCAUGUCCACAUGACGCUCAGAACCCCAGUGGCUUUUACAUUUGCAUAUCCCAAAGACGGGAAGCAAGAUGGCUUAACUCAAGACCUUUGAAUCUCCUCCUCCUUGGCUGCUAUGUAGGAGAUUCUCUCCCAGACACGAAGCUUCAAGAUGAUCAUUCUAAUGGAUUCCGAAGCACAGUGUGUAGAGUGGGAAGCCUUUGGACUCUGGGUUUCCUGUGUUGUGGUCUAAAACCUGUUCAGUCAAGUCGAAUUGUACUGGUAUUCUGCAGUUUGUGUUGGGAGCCCAUGGCCAGCUGUUUAUUAUUUUAAAAACUCUGGGUUGCUGCCUUUAUGCAUGGGGGUGGGAGGGCAGCCUACUGUGCAAGGCGGCUGCCACCUUCUUCUGGGAAUGACAAUGUUGCUCUGUAUACUCCACGGGGGCCCCUCAGGCAGAGCUACCGCAUUCCGGAGCUCUACCCAGCCAGAUGAACAGAGACUAUUUCAUCUCACCAGUUAUCGAGACAAAGUCAGGGCUCUAGCAAUUGUGUUCCUCCCUGUCAUAUAACCUUUACAUGAGGAAGACCCCACUAAGGCCUUGAGACCAGGACCCUCACAGCUUCACCAGAGUACUGGGGAAACGUGUUCACACUGGGCUUUAUGAAACACACUCUUGCCUUCCUCACCUUUCAAAAUGUGUCCCUGCUGGGUGCCCCAUGGUAAGAAUGUCUCAGUGUCCCACUGGAACAUUUGUUAUUGCCCAAUCCAGCUCAACACCCCUUCCAGCCAUGUCCCAAGAAGCCAGCGCUGAGCACUUGAAAUAAAACAGAGCGAUGUCCUCGAGCUGUAAAUGCCUCCCAAAGACAAACGGACAGAACUUCAUUGUUUCAGGGAAGAAGGCGCCUCACAUAGCGGUCACAUUGUGGUUACCGGGGGCCCGAUGAUUAAUCCACAGAGAGGAUGUGCAGGAGAGAGGAGCUGGCAUCAUUCCUGCAGAUGAAGAUUCUUUAAAAUUUCAUGUCUCUGACUGAACAUGUGCCCCAGAAACACAAGAUUUCCAUUGUUAAGGUCUCUUUGGUGACCUCAUUUUCCCAGUCGUGAGUUGGCAUGUAAGUAAUUACCUUUUCUGUCUGCACAGGGAUACCGUGUUCCUGAAACUUGUGUUUCACACUUUAAAAUAUACAUUGUGCUGCUUAUAAUUAUGCUUCUGAAGGUGCACACUUACAGCGAUUUAUGAAAUUUCUAAUUUAGAAAUGGGAUAUGAGCCACUAGUGCAUGGAGAAAUUAGCAAAAUCAGAUACUGAUCAGUGUACAUAUAUACUCAGCAUAAAUAAUUAGAUUAUUUUUAGAAUCAAUUUUUUAAAAGCUCUGUGCUAAGCUCUUUUAAAGGCACUCCAGAAGAUUCCAGCAGUAUCCACCAAUGUCUACCAUGGCUCUUGUCCAUUGCAUGAUCACCACUGGGGGAGGUGGACUCUCUUACAAUGGCAAAUACUGUAUGUGAGGGGCCGACGCAGAUGUCAUGAUGAUGCUGAUGGGUGACAAUCCACAGUUCUGUCACUUACUAGUACUGGGCCGAGGACAACUUCUCUGAGCUUCUGUUCCCUCAUCCAGGGCAUGCAGCUCUGAAUGGGACCUUUUGUAACUGGAAAUUCCACAGUUCCAGCUGCCCCUGACUCUCGUCCAUGCCAGACGACAUCCCCAGAGACUUUGAAGUUGCAUGUUUGAAUGAAGCACAGCCCCACCCCACCUCUCACCCUCUGUGCCUGCCCACAGUAUCAGACUCUGGGAGAGCAGUGGGACCAGCUUCUGGCUACCAACAGGAAUCCAGCACAGUGUUGUGCCUAUGCAAGGAUAGAUGAAUGAGUGGAGCUCUGAGAAAUGAGGCCCCUGGUGGAAGGGCACUUGAGGACAUCAGGCCACUUUCCUUGCAUCUAUGAAGUCAUACCAUGUUGGCUGACACCUCAUAAGCCUGGACACAAUGCAAAUAUCCCAAUAUGUUAAACUUAUUUGUCCAUUUACAAUUUCAUUCGAUGUUUACUGAGCGCCAACUUUCUGUUAGGUCAUGCUGGGGAAGAUAGCAGAAUGAAAAAAUGUAGUCUCUGUCUCAACAAUCCAGGUGGGAGAAGACUUGAGUUUCAUGCAGAAAGCAAGAUAGCAAGGAAUGGACACUUAUCUCAUCCUGAGAGAUAUCUACGAGAAGACUUCCUGAGUGGGAUGGCUUUGAGUUGCUACAAGGAUGUAGUAAGAAGUAAAAAUCCAUAAAGGCAUUAAGCAGCAACAACAACCACAGCAACACCGUUUUUUUCUAUAUUCACACCAACAUUUCUGACAUCAGAUAUGUGGGUUUUUCCACACCAAGCAAUUCUCUAGUUCUCGGCAGUCACCAGUUGAGUGUCCUACAAUUUAAAUUCCUACACUAACUGGACAGACCGCACAGGUUAAGAGCUUAGUCCACAAGACUGUCCCCCACUUCAUAAACCAAUUGCAAGGCCUGGGUUGUCACCUGUACUUUUAACUGACUGGCCAUAAACGGGGGUUCUCACAACUCCUCCUUGGAUUGGUACAUUUGCUAGAAUAGGUCACAGAACUUGGGAAAACAGUUUACUUACUAGUGUACCAGUUUAUUAUAAAAUGAUGCAACUCAGGAACAGCAAGAAGGAAGAGAAGCAAGCAUAGGGCAAGGUGGGAAGGGGUUCAUGGAGCUUCCAUGCCUUCUCUGGGUUCACCACUCUCCCAACACCUCAAUGUGUUCACUAACCAGGAACCUCUCUCUACCCUGUUGUUUGGGGCUUUUGUGGGGGAUUCAUUACAUAGGCAUGGUUGCUUAAAUCAUUGGCCACUGGUAAUUGAAAGUCUCCAGCCCCUCUCCCCUUCCUGAGGAGGUUGGGGAAGGGACUGAAAGUUACAACCCCGUAAUCACAUGGCUGGUUCUCCUGGAAGCAUCCCUCCAUCUUUUGGAGAUUUCCACAAGUCACCCCAUUAGUAUAAACUCACGUAUGGUUGAAAGGGAUAUAUUAUGAAAAAUAAAAGAUGUUCCUUUCUCCUCUAUCACUCAGGAAACUCCAAGAGUUUGGCAGUUCUGUGCCAGGAAUUGGGAACAAAGAUCAAGUAUACACUUCUUAUUAUAUUACAGUAUCACAGCUUUCCAUGCAGAGGGGGCAGAGCAAUUAAAGCAGAGCAGGUGUGAAAAAAAAUGUGAGGUGUGGCUAUAAUAACGAAUUUCUGUGAGAGGGUGGGAAUGAGCUUGAACAAUCAGUAGCAGCCUUGCCGUGUUAAUGAGUUUGAAACUAUAUUAUUCUCUUGUGGGGGCAUGGAUAGUAAUUAUACUUUACACACAUAGAAUGAUUCUGUGAGCAGUAAGCAGUCUGCUUUAUGUGAAUGAUCUCAUUAAAUAUUUGCUACCACUCUGA